rnacentral:antisense_RNA from 1 species
GAAUUCACUGUUAAAUCCAUCAAGUGAACCCAGCUUCUUUUUGGGAACUGUGCAGAGCAUGUGAAGAAUCUCACCACCUCAAAACAUUUUUUGAAGUUACUGAAAUGAUUAAAUGAAUCAGAUGCUUCAGACCACUCCAAACUGCAGGUCAUGAGCCAUUAGUGGGUCAUUAUAUCAUUUUGGUUUUUAAAAUGCUGGUCAGGCCCAGCAUUAAAAAAUAAAUCAAUAGAAAU